rnacentral:rRNA from 1 species
GAUGAACGCUGGCGGCGUGCCUAAUACAUGCAAGUCGAGCGAACAGACGAGGAGCUUGCUCCUCUGACGUUAGCGGCGGACGGGUGAGUAACACGUGGAUAACCUACCUAUAAGACUGGGAUAACUUCGGGAAACCGGAGCUAAUACCGGAUAAUAUAUUGAACCGCAUGGUUCAAUAGUGAAAGACGGUUUUGCUGUCACUUAUAGAUGGAUCCGCGCCGCAUUAGCUAGUUGGUAAGGUAACGGCUUACCAAGGCAACGAUGCGUAGCCGACCUGAGAGGGGGGCGGGCCACACUGGAAUUGAGACGGGCGCCAGCCCCCGACGGGAGGCAGCGGGAGGAAAUCUUCGCAAAGGGGCGAAACCCUGCCGGAGCAACGCCGGGGGGGUGAAGAAGUUCUGCGGGUUGUAAAACCUUUUUAUUAGGGAAAAACAAAUGGUAAAGUAACUAUGCACGUCUGAACGGAACCAAACCAAAAAGCCCCGGCAAACACCUG